GCGCCCGUAGCUCAGUGGAUAGAGCGUCGGUUUCCGGAGCCGAAGGUCAUAGGUUCGAAUCCUAUCGGGCGUA
rnacentral:tRNA from 1 species